UACGUAGGGUGCGAGCGUUAAUCGGACUUACUUGGCGUAAAGCGUGCGCAGGCGGUUCGUUGUGUCGGCGGGGAAAGCCCCGGGCUCAACCUGGGAAUGGCCGUUGAAACUGGCGAACUGGAGUGUGGCAGAGGGGGGUGGAAUUCCGCGUGUAGCAGUGAAAUGCGUAGAUAUCAGGAGGAAUACCGAUGGCGAAGGCAGGUCUCUGGGCUGACACUGACGCUCAUGCACGAAAGCGUGGGGAGCAAACAGG
rnacentral:rRNA from 1 species